AACCUACCUAUAAGACUGGGAUAACUUCGGGAAACCGGAGCUAAUACCGGAUAACAUAUUGAACCGCAUGGUUCAAUAGUGAAAGGCGGCUUUGCUGUCACUUAUAGAUGGAUCCGCGCCGUAUUAGCUAGUUGGUAAGGUAACGGCUUACCAAGGCAACGAUACGUAGCCGACCUGAGAGGGUGAUCGGCCACACUGGAACUGAGACACGGUCCAGACUCCUACGGGAGGCAGCAGUAGGGAAUCUUCCGCAAUGGGCGAAAGCCUGACGGAGCAACGCCGCGUGAGUGAUGAAGGUCUUCGGAUCGUAAAACUCUGUUAUCAGGGAAGAACAAAUGUGUAAGUAACUGUGCACAUCUUGACGGUACCUGAUCAGAAAGCCACGGCUAACUACGUGCCAGCAGCCGCGGUAAUACGUAGGUGGCAAGCGUUAUCCGGAAUUAUUGGGCGUAAAGCGCGCGUAGGCGGUUUUUUAAGUCUGAUGUGAAAGCCCACGGCUCAACCGUGGAGGGUCAUUGGAAACUGGAAAACUUGAGUGCAGAAGAGGAAAGUGGAAUUCCAUGUGUAGCGGUGAAAUGCGCAGAGAUAUGGAGGAACACCAGUGGCGAAGGCGACUUUCUGGUCUGUAACUGACGCUGAUGUGCGAAAGCGUGGGGAUCAAACAGGAUUAGAUACCCUGGUAGUCCACGCCGUAAACGAUGAGUGCUAAGUGUUAGGGGGUUUCCGCCCCUUAGUGCUGCAGCUAACGCAUUAAGCACUCCGCCUGGGG
rnacentral:rRNA from 1 species